GGGUUGUGAGGUUAAGCGACUAAGCGUACACGGUGGAUGCCCUGGCAGUCAGAGGCGAUGAAGGACGUGCUAAUCUGCGAUAAGCGUCGGUAAGGUGAUAUGAACCGUUAUAACCGGCGAUUUCCGAAUGGGGAAACCCAGUGUGAUUCGUCACACUAUCAUUAACUGAAUCCAUAGGUUAAUGAGGCGAACCGGGGGAACUGAAACAUCUAAGUACCCCGAGGAAAAGAAAUCAACCGAGAUUCCCCCAGUAGCGGCGAGCGAACGGGGGAGGAGCCCAGAGCCUGAAUCAGUGUGUGUGUUAGUGGAAGCGUCUGGAAAGGCGCGCGAUACAGGGUGACAGCCCCGUACACAAAAAUACACAUAUUGUGAGCUCGAUGAGUAGGGCGGGACACGUGGUAUCCUGUCUGAAUAUGGGGGGGACCAUCCUCCAAGGCUAAAUACUCCUGACUGACCGAUAGUGAACCAGUACCGUGAGGGAAAGGCGAAAAGAACCCCGGCGAGGGGAGUGAAAAAGAACCUGAAACCGUGUACGUACAAGCAGUGGGAGCACGCUUAGGCGUGUGACUGCGUACCUUUUGUAUAAUGGGUCAGCGACUUAUAUUCUGUAGCAAGGUUAACCGAAUAGGGGAGCCGAAGGGAAACCGAGUCUUAACUGGGCGUUAAGUUGCAGGGUAUAGACCCGAAACCCGGUGAUCUAGCCAUGGGCAGGUUGAAGGUUGGGUAACACUAACUGGAGGACCGAACCGACUAAUGUUGAAAAAUUAGCGGAUGACUUGUGGCUGGGGGUGAAAGGCCAAUCAAACCGGGAGAUAGCUGGUUCUCCCCGAAAGCUAUUUAGGUAGCGCCUCGUGAAUUCAUCUCCGGGGGUAGAGCACUGUUUCGGCAAGGGGGUCAUCCCGACUUACCAACCCGAUGCAAACUGCGAAUACCGGAGAAUGUUAUCACGGGAGACACACGGCGGGUGCUAACGUCCGUCGUGAAGAGGGAAACAACCCAGACCGCCAGCUAAGGUCCCAAAGUCAUGGUUAAGUGGGAAACGAUGUGGGAAGGCCCAGACAGCCAGGAUGUUGGCUUAGAAGCAGCCAUCAUUUAAAGAAAGCGUAAUAGCUCACUGGUCGAGUCGGCCUGCGCGGAAGAUGUAACGGGGCUAAACCAUGCACCGAAGCUGCGGCAGCGACGCUUAUGCGUUGUUGGGUAGGGGAGCGUUCUGUAAGCCUGUGAAGGUGUGCUGUGAGGCAUGCUGGAGGUAUCAGAAGUGCGAAUGCUGACAUAAGUAACGAUAAAGCGGGUGAAAAGCCCGCUCGCCGGAAGACCAAGGGUUCCUGUCCAACGUUAAUCGGGGCAGGGUGAGUCGACCCCUAAGGCGAGGCCGAAAGGCGUAGUCGAUGGGAAACAGGUUAAUAUUCCUGUACUUGGUGUUACUGCGAAGGGGGGACGGAGAAGGCUAUGUUGGCCGGGCGACGGUUGUCCCGGUUUAAGCGUGUAGGCUGGUUUUCCAGGCAAAUCCGGAAAAUCAAGGCUGAGGCGUGAUGACGAGGCACUACGGUGCUGAAGCAACAAAUGCCCUGCUUCCAGGAAAAGCCUCUAAGCAUCAGGUAACAUCAAAUCGUACCCCAAACCGACACAGGUGGUCAGGUAGAGAAUACCAAGGCGCUUGAGAGAACUCGGGUGAAGGAACUAGGCAAAAUGGUGCCGUAACUUCGGGAGAAGGCACGCUGAUAUGUAGGUGAAGUCCCUUGCGGAUGGAGCUGAAAUCAGUCGAAGAUACCAGCUGGCUGCAACUGUUUAUUAAAAACACAGCACUGUGCAAACACGAAAGUGGACGUAUACGGUGUGACGCCUGCCCGGUGCCGGAAGGUUAAUUGAUGGGGUCAGCGCAAGCGAAGCUCUUGAUCGAAGCCCCGGUAAACGGCGGCCGUAACUAUAACGGUCCUAAGGUAGCGAAAUUCCUUGUCGGGUAAGUUCCGACCUGCACGAAUGGCGUAAUGAUGGCCAGGCUGUCUCCACCCGAGACUCAGUGAAAUUGAACUCGCUGUGAAGAUGCAGUGUACCCGCGGCAAGACGGAAAGACCCCGUGAACCUUUACUAUAGCUUGACACUGAACAUUGAGCCUUGAUGUGUAGGAUAGGUGGGAGGCUUGGAAGUGUGGACGCCAGUCUGCAUGGAGCCGACCUUGAAAUACCACCCUUUAAUGUUUGAUGUUCUAACGUUGACCCGUAAUCCGGGUUGCGGACAGUGUCUGGUGGGUAGUUUGACUGGGGCGGUCUCCUCCUAAAGAGUAACGGAGGAGCACGAAGGUUGGCUAAUCCUGGUCGGACAUCAGGAGGUUAGUGCAAUGGCAUAAGCCAGCUUGACUGCGAGCGUGACGGCGCGAGCAGGUGCGAAAGCAGGUCAUAGUGAUCCGGUGGUUCUGAAUGGAAGGGCCAUCGCUCAACGGAUAAAAGGUACUCCGGGGAUAACAGGCUGAUACCGCCCAAGAGUUCAUAUCGACGGCGGUGUUUGGCACCUCGAUGUCGGCUCAUCACAUCCUGGGGCUGAAGUAGGUCCCAAGGGUAUGGCUGUUCGCCAUUUAAAGUGGUACGCGAGCUGGGUUUAGAACGUCGUGAGACAGUUCGGUCCCUAUCUGCCGUGGGCGCUGGAGAACUGAGGGGGGCUGCUCCUAGUACGAGAGGACCGGAGUGGACGCAUCACUGGUGUUCGGGUUGUCAUGCCAAUGGCACUGCCCGGUAGCUAAAUGCGGAAGAGAUAAGUGCUGAAAGCAUCUAAGCACGAAACUUGCCCCGAGAUGAGUUCUCCCUGACUCCUUGAGAGUCCUGAAGGAACGUUGAAGACGACGACGUUGAUAGGCCGGGUGUGUAAGCGCAGCGAUGCGUUGAGCUAACCGGUACUAAUGAACCGUGAGGCUUAACCUUACAACGCCGAAGCUGUU
rnacentral:rRNA from 1 species